UCUCUAAAUCCAUCUAUAAAUAGCAGCUCGUCACAUUGAUUAUUCAUUAAAAGUUGUAGCUUUAGAGAAUCUGCUGAAAGAGGAGAACAAUAGCAAUCACAAGAUUAAAUCAUGGUUUACUUUACCGAUUUGACGUCCUCUUCUUCAGAGUUGCGAUACCUUGUAAUAUCAGAUCAUAAAGAUAGUGAGGUGGAGACGAAUAAUAAAUAUGAACAAGUGACUUGAUCUUGAACAUCUUGAUAUUUGCCUUCGUUCUUGAUCUUGAACUUGAACUUGAGUUUGAUUACUUGAAGUUUGUAGCUUUGUAGAGAAUCUGUUGCCUUUGAUCCACAAUCUCUCUUUUUGCUUCUUAUUCUUAAAAAAACCUCUGAAAAUAAUGAGGACCCCUAUUUAUAGUUGUAGGAAGUGGUAUACCUGUGUGAUUUGAUUGGUCAGAAUGAACUGACCAAUCACAUUCCUCUGGUGAAAAUCUCUAAUUUGGUUGGUUAGAAUAUGUCACAUAUAUAUGUGGCAAUAUUCUAGAUGCUCAUUUAAUUUGACGUGAAUUGCCACAUAAUUUUGACA